GAUCCUGGCUCAGGAUGAACGCUAGCGACAGGCUUAACACAUGCAAGUCGAGGGGCAGCGGGAUUGAAGCUUGCUUCAAUUGCCGGCGACCGGCGCACGGGUGAGUAACGCGUAUCCAACCUUCCGUACACUCAGGGAUAGCCUUUCGAAAGAAAGAUUAAUACCUGAUGGUAUGGUGAGAUUGCAUGAUAGCAUCAUUAAAGAUUUAUCGGUGUACGAUGGGGAUGCGUU
rnacentral:rRNA from 1 species